rnacentral:rRNA from 1 species
UACGGGGGGGGGCAAGCGUUGUUCGGAAUUACUGGGCGUAAAGGGCGCGUAGGCGGACAGUUUAGUCAGAGGUGAAAGCCCAGGGCUCAACCUUGGAAUUGCCUUUGAUACUGGCUGUCUUGAGUUCGGGAGAGGUGAGUGGAAUGCCGAGUGUAGAGGUGAAAUUCGUAGAUAUUCGGCGGAACACCAGUGGCGAAGGCGACUCACUGGCCCGAUACUGACGCUGAGGCGCGAAAGUGUGGGGAGCAAACAGG